rnacentral:tRNA from 1 species
AUUGGGAUGUGCCUCAGUGGUAAAGCAAUUGCCUUGCAUACACGAAACCCUGGGUUCUAUCCCCAGUUCCAAUA